AUUGAACGCUGGCGGCAGGCCUAACACAUGCAAGUCGAGCGGAUGAGAGGAGCUUGCUCUUCGAUUCAGCGGCGGACGGGUGAGUAAUGCCUAGGAAUCUGCCUAGUAGUGGGGGACAACGUUUCGAAAGGAACGCUAAUACCGCAUACGUCCUACGGGAGAAAGUGGGGGAUCUUCGGACCUCACGCUAUUAGAUGAGCCUAGGUCGGAUUAGCUAGUUGGUAGGGUAACGACCUACCAAGGCGACGAUCCGUAACUGGUCUGAGAGGAUGAUCAGUCACACUGGAACUGAGACACGGUCCAGACUCCUACGGGAGGCAGCAGUGGGGAAUAUUGGAUAAUGGGCGAAAGCCUGAUCCAGCCAUGCCGCGUGUGUGAAGAAGGCCCUCGGGUCGUAAAGCACUUUAAGUUGGGAGGAAGGGCUUACAGCGAAUACCUGUGAGUUUUGACGUUACCGACAGAAUAAGCACCGGCUAACUUCGUGCCAGCCGCCGCGGUAG
rnacentral:rRNA from 1 species